UUCUGUCAUUUUUACCUUUCAUAUCUCUGAUUCUAGUAACAUUGCUUACCUUAAACUCUUUUAUUUGAUAUUAAUAUGGCUACACAGCUACCUUUUGGUUAAUAUUUAUGUAGCAUAUUCCUUUCAUUCCUUUUAUUUUUCUGUCUUCCUGUGUCCCCAUGAGUACAGGGAGUCUUUCAUAGAACAGUAUUCUAUUUAAAGUGUGUCUCAACAACAUAUGGUUGGUUUGUUUAUUUUUUUUAGCCAAACUGGCAAAUUAGCCUAGCAAAGAAAAUAGCCAGUAAUUGCCAGUUCACUUCAGAACUGGAAUCCAACUCAUCUACUGUCUUUGCUUGCACACAUCCCUUAUUUUGCCUUUAAAAACACAAUUUUUGAAGUCGUCAAGGACCUUGGAGUCACCGCAGUGAGAACGCUGGGCCGCCACGACCUACGGCAUCCUACCACAAAGUACAAGGUGCUAAGCAUUCGCCACUGCUUCUGACUUCUUCCAUCUUCCUUGACGCCUUGCGGGUCUUUUCCAUUUUGGGUGCAGCUUUUUCUCGACUCUGCAAUAAUACAGUGAACAUUCUAGACCCUGGAUGGCAUGCAGCCCCUUGGGAGGCCAAAAAAGCAAACAAAACGAUUGACCCCAGCCACCGCAUUCAGCGAGCAAUCGAACUUCAUCUCCAAGAUUUCAGCAAGCUUUAAAUGUUCAUGGUCAAGGUCUGUGUCUCCCACUCUCUAUCUCUGGCAGCUCCUCCCAGCACUGUGAGACGUCCACAGCUUCCUGCUGGCCCCCAUGUUUUCUCCAGGCCACUCUCCUCUCUCCCCUUUCAGUGUCCUCGUCACUCGGAACCUUAUUCCAAGCUUUUCAUCACCUCCAAACCUUCUCUGGAGCUGUUCCUGAGACUGAAGGCUAUGAAAGAUCUGCAAACUACGGCAGUGCCCAAGAGAGAUGAUCUCGACCAGACUGGGAAGACGCCCGAAGGGCGCCGAAACGACAGACAAGAGAGAUGAAAGAGACACGAUGUUUUUCUUUAUAAAUGUGCUAAAUGUCGCUUUCUCUCCUGGACUCAAAGCCGCUUUGACUCCGCUCUCCCCUGAUGACUGGCCUCCGAGACAGAGCAAACGCGCUGAGUUUCUCAGACAUACGAUGGGUUUUUACGCUUGCUGCACUUGUAGGCACCGAAGCCAGCAGCCUCAAAAACCAGUUGGUUUGCUCGAAUUUAGCUUUCUGGCAAAAACCUCUUCUCUGGCUCAGACGUCCAUUCCUACUUCAGGAAUUCCUUUGCAAGGUGCUGUGCCCAGCGCUGCACUCUCGAUGUACUCAGAUAAUAAUGACUGUGGCUGGAGACAAAAGGGCGCACAAUGAGAAAAGCUGCCAGCGAAACACAAGCUUUGGCAAUUUUCCGAGAAACACAAUAAAAUGGAGUUGUUGAGCCGUGGCCCUCA
rnacentral:lncRNA from 1 species